UGGGGAAUAUUGGACAAUGGGGGCAACCCUGAUCCAGCAAUGCCGCGUGAGUGAAGAAGGCCUUCGGGUUGUAAAGCUCUUUUGUUAGGGACGAUGAUGACGGUACCUAACGAAUAAGCUCCGGCUAACUUCGUGCCAGCAGCCGCGGUAAUACGAAGGGAGCUAGCGUUGUUCGGAAUGACUGGGCGUAAAGGGCGCGUAGGCGGUUAGAUAAGUUUGGUGUGAAAGCCCUGGGCUCAACCUAGGAAUAGCAUUGGAUACUGUCUGACUAGAGGCUAAGAGAGGAAAAUGGAAUUGCGCGUGUAGAGGUGAAAUUCGUAGAUAUGCGCAAGAACACCGGUGGCGAAGGCGAUUUUCUGGCUUAGUGCUGACGCUAAGGCGCGAAAGCGUGGGGAGCAAACAGG
rnacentral:rRNA from 1 species